AUUGAACGCUGGCGGCAGGCCUAACACAUGCAAGUCGAGCGGAUGAGAGGAGCUUGCUUCUCGAUUCAGCGGCGGACGGGUGGGUAAUGCCUAGGAAUCUGCCUGGUAGUGGGGGACAACGUUUCGAAAGGAACGCUAAUACCGCAUACGUCCUACGGGAGAAAGCAGGGGACCUUCGGGCCUUGCGCUAUCAGAUGAGCCUAGGUCGGAUUAGCUAGUUGGUGAGGUAAUGGCUCACCAAGGCGACGAUCCGUAACUGGUCUGAGGGGAUGAUCAGUCACACUGGAACUGAGACACGGUCCAGACUCCUACGGGAGGCAGCAGUGGGGAAUAUUGGACAAUGGGCGAAAGCCUGAUCCAGCCAUGCCGCGUGUGUGAAGAAGGUCUUCGGAUUGUAAAGCACUUUAAGUUGGGAGGAAGGGUUGCAGAUUAAUACUCUGCAAUUUUGACGUUACCGACAGAAUAAGCACCGGCUAACUCUGUGCCAGCCGCCGCAGUAAGAC
rnacentral:rRNA from 1 species